CUAUUAUCCAGUUCUAGCCCAUGGAUUUACAUAUUUGGACACUGAUUUUCAGAAAGUUUAAGUGAUUUGAGUACUGCAGAACCAGCUCCAGUCGAUGAUGGAGUAGCAGACAGAUUCUCACAAGCUUGAUGACUUCCUAUCUCUAUGCGAACUCACGUUUGUGCUGUUACAGGCAUAAGAAGCUUUUAAAAUCGUAAUUAGAGAGGCUUGAUAACAUUUGGUGAGAUUAAAUGCCACAGUCAGCAGACAAGGAUCCACAGGACCUAACAGAUCUUGGGGAAUGAUUGAAUCUGGGAGACUCUACUAACAACAAAAAAGAGCCAAAUUUGGGAAUUAUUCAGAGAAAAGAGGAGGCUGUUAUAUACACAAAGGUGAAAGGUGAAAGCAGGAGAACGGGAAACCAACAAAAGAAUGAAUAGGGGCUGAGACGCAACUGCUCAUCAACACUUCACUGCCGCCUGUUUCAUCAGGACUGAGCUGUGGCUGCAAUUGCUUGGAGCCGCCUGGCGCUGUGAAGGGUGCCAAAACCAAGAACUUAGUUGCAGCUCCGUGGCUUGACUUUUAGAUCCAAAGAAACAACAAUAGCAAGUGGAAGUAAAUGGAUCCAAACCAGUCACCUCAAAAUGGUCUUUAUUUU
rnacentral:lncRNA from 1 species